rnacentral:sRNA from 1 species
AUGUGCCUGUUGUGGGAGCAGGGCCAGCAGAUCACCAUGAUGAGGGUGAGCAGAGAUCGCACUACUGAUUCUGGAGGGGAACCACAGACAAUCUGGGUGAGGGGAAGAAUAUGGCAAAUAGAAACUUUGCUGCUCCAUGGUGUCCUUCAUUCUUGUUUCUCCUAAAAGAAAAGCUUGAGGGCUCCAUUCCUUUUAAGCAGCUGCCUUAGAGUCCCCCUACAACCUCAGUGGGGCACCAGCUGCCCUCACCUUUACAGUCUGGUAAAAAAUGGUGGAUAUAUUGUUUCAGCAUCUGUUAACAGGCUUAUCCUCGAGGGAAGAAGUGAGGAAAAGGGAGGAACAAUGGUGAAUCAUACUAAGUUCCAUAUAAGAGGAGUCACAGUGAAAAAAUAUGUUUGCAUCUUGGUUUUGGAUGCUCUUUCAAGUGGACCCCCACAUAGAUGCUCCAAAGAGAAGUGAGGACUAGACCAGAGUUAGAAUAGUACACAAGAGUUCAGGUUGAGUUAAGAGUCAUUGAGGCCAGGGAUCUUCUCACUGGGUGCUGCUAUAUUCAGCCUGACACGACUGUUCUGCAGGCACAUGUAUAGAAGGAGUUGGUGAUGGGGUUUUACACCCUUGGGUUUCUUCUUUCCAUCACAGGGAUCACAAGAAUCAUCAAUGCGGAAGACAGACUCUCGAGGGUACCUUGUGCGCAGUCAAUGGUCUAGAACAUCCCGGAGCCCAUCCACCAAGGCUCCAUCCAUAGAUGAGCCUAGAAGCAGGAACAUCAGUGCUAAGGUAGAGCUCCCCAGCAGCUCCACGAGCUCCCGGACUCCAUCCACCUCCCCAAGCCUGCAUGACUCCUCACCGCCGCCGCUGUCCGGGCAGCCCUCGCUCCAGCCACCCGCGUCGCCCCAGCCGCCCCGGUCGCUGGACUCGCGGCCUCCCACGCCCCCAGAGCCCGAUCCUGGCUCCCGGCGCAGCACCAAAAUGCAAGAGAAUCCGGAGGCCUGGGCCCAAGGCAUCGUGCGGGAAACCCGCCAGACCCGCGACUCACAGCCGCGGGAAUAUUCGCGCACGUCCCCCACCGAGUGGAAGUCCUCCAGCCAGCGCAGGGGGAUCUACCCCGCCUCCACCCAGCUGGACCGCGACUCUCUGUCCCAGCAGCAGCAGCGGGAGGACGAGGACGACUACGAGGCUGCCUACUGGGCAUCCAUGAGGUCGUUCUACGAGAAGAACUCGAGCUGCUCGCGCCCCUGGCCGCCCAAACCCAAGAACGCCAUCACCAUUGCUCUCUCAUCCUGCGCGCUCUUCAACAUGGUGGACGGCAGGAAAAUCUACGAGGAAGAGGGUCUGGAAAAGUACAUGGAGUAUCAGCUCACCAAUGAGAACGUCAUCCUGACCCCGGGCCCGGCGUUCCGCUUCGUCAAGGUAUUCUGCAAGCUGUCUUUGGCCCGCCAGGACCCUCGAUGGCGAGGGAGCGACCCAGGCCAACCCUUGGGAGGGCAUCCAAUUUCCCAGAUCAUUCCUAGCCCACCCUUGUCAUUCUUGUCUCUUUCUAGCUGACCCAGGUCAGUUUAUGAUUUCGCACAGGCUUCCAGACUGUGGAGGAAGGGACUCCAGCCCACAGCCCUAGAUUUGGUAUGUUAGCCUUCCCUAAGUGAAGUCCUAAUCAUGAGACCUGUAACAGAAGCCUCUCUCCCUCGAAGGAGUGCUAAGAAGCCAUAAUGAGUUUAUGAUCCUGAGUAGUAGAAAUAAAACGCCAUAUUACAGUG